rnacentral:rRNA from 1 species
GACGAACGCUGGCGGCGUGCUUAACACAUGCAAGUCGAACGGAAAGGCCCUGCUUUUGUGGGGUGCUCGAGUGGCGAACGGGUGAGUAACACGUGAGUAACCUGCCCUUGACUUUGGGAUAACUUCAGGAAACUGGGGCUAAUACCGGAUAGGAGCUCCUGCUGCAUGGUGGGGGUUGGAAAGUUUCGGCGGUUGGGGAUGGACUCGCGGCUUAUCAGCUUGUUGGUGGGGUAGUGGCUUACCAAGGCUUUGACGGGUAGCCGGCCUGAGAGGGUGACCGGCCACAAUGGGACUGAGGUACGGACCAGACUCCUACGGGAGGCAGCAGUGGGGAAUAUUGCACAAUGGGCGGAAGCCUGAUGCAGCAACGCCGCGUGCGGGAUGACGGCCUUCGGGUUGUAAACCGCUUUCGCCUGUGACGAAGCGUGAGUGACGGUAAUGGGUAAAGAAGCACCGGCUAACUACGUG